rnacentral:rRNA from 1 species
UACGUAGGGGGCAAGCGUUGUCCGGAAUCAUUGGGCGUAAAGAGCGUGUAGGCGGCCCGAUAAGUCCGCUGUGAAAGUCCCAGGGCUCAACCCUGGGAUGCCGGUGGAUACUGUCGGGCUCGAGUCCGGAAGAGGAGUGUGGAAUUCCUGGUGUAGCGGUGAAAUGCGCAGAUAUCAGGAGGAACACCAAUGGCGAAGGCAGCACUCUGGGACGUGACUGACGCUGAGACGCGAAAGCGUGGGGAGCAAACAGG